rnacentral:tRNA from 8 species
GCGGUUGUGGCGGAAUUGGUAGACGCGCAGCGUUGAGGUCGCUGUGGGGUAACUCCCGUGGAAGUUCGAGUCUUCUCAACCGCACCA